UACAGAGGGUGCAAGCGUUAAUCGGAAUUACUGGGCGUAAAGCGUGCGUAGACGGUUAUGUAAGUCGGGUGUGAAAGCCCCGGGCUCAACCUGGGAAUUGCAUUCGAGACUGCAUAGCUAGGGUGCGGAAGAGGGAAGCGGAAUUUCCGGUGUAGCGGUGAAAUGCGUAGAUAUCGGAAGGAACACUAGUGGCGAAAGCGGCUUCCUGGUCCAGCACCGACGUUCAGGCACGAAAGCGUGGGGAGCAAACAGGG
rnacentral:rRNA from 1 species